UACGUAGGGCGCAAGCGUUGUCCGGAAUUAUUGGGCGUAAAGAGCUCGUAGGCGGCUUGUCACGUCGGUUGUGAAAGCCCGGGGGCUUUAACCCCCGGGUCUGCAGUCGAUACGGGCAGGCUAGAGUGUGGUAGGGGAGAUCGGAAUUCCUGGUGUAGCGGUGAAAUGCGCAGAUAUCAGGAGGAACACCGGUGGCGAAGGCGGAUCUCUGGGCCAUUACUGACGCUGAGGAGCGAAAGCGUGGGGAGCGAACAGG
rnacentral:rRNA from 1 species